UGGCUGUUGGCAGGAAGUAUCAUUUCCUCACUGGCUGUUGACUGGAAGCCCCAGUUCCUAGCUUCUGCAUAGAUUACCAUAAGGAAUGGAGGAGAGAAGAGAAUGACUCUCAGGAUUAUAGCAUCUUGGAAAUCCUGAGCAAAGACAGUCUGACAAGAAGAAAGAGGAAUUGUAAAGAGCAAGACGAAUUCAGUGCAGCCUCCCAGAGGACUGUUCAAAGAUCUCCAGGUAAAGAAAAAUCUGUUCUGGAAACAGGAGGAGAAAAGGAAAGUGGAAUAAAAUAAAAGUCUGCUGCAACAGUUAAGAAUUUUGGGACAGAGAUAAAGGCAGCAGAAAAGUGAAAUGAAUUCAUGCUCACA